rnacentral:rRNA from 1 species
UACAGAGGGGGCAAGCGUUGUUCGGAAUUACUGGGCGUAAAGGGCGCGUAGGCGGCCUGCUAAGUCGAACGUGAAAUCCCUGGGCUCAACCCAGGAACUGCGUCCGAUACUGGUUGGCUUGAAUCCGGGAGAGGGAUGUGGAAUUCCAGGUGUAGCGGUGAAAUGCGUAGAUAUCUGGAGGAACACCGGUGGCGAAGGCGACAUCCUGGACCGGUAUUGACGCUGAGGCGCGAAAGCUAGGGGAGCAAACGGG